rnacentral:rRNA from 1 species
CCACCGAAAGAAAAAGAGUGGCGAACGGGUGAGUAACACGUGGGUAACCUGCCCAUCAGAAGGGGAUAACACUUGGAAACAGGUGCUAAUACCGUAUAACACUAUUUUCCGCAUGGAAGAAAGUUGAAAGGCGCUUUUGCGUCACUGAUGGAUGGACCCGCGGUGCAUUAGCUAGUUGGUGAGGUAACGGCUCACCAAGGCAACGAUGCAUAGCCGACCUGAGAGGGUGAUCGGCCACACUGGGACUGAGACACGGCCCAGACUCCUACGGGAGGCAGCAGUAGGGAAUCUUCGGCAAUGGACGAAAGUCUGACCGAGCAACGCCGCGUGAGUGAAGAAGGUUUUCGGAUCGUAAAACUCUGUUGUUAGAGAAGAACAAGGAUGAGAGUAGAACGUUCAUCCCUUGACGGUAUCUAACCAGAAAGCCACGGCUAACUACGUGCCAGCAGCCGCGGUAAUACGUAGGUGGCAAGCGUUGUCCGGAUUUAUUGGGCGUAAAGCGAGCGCAGGCGGUUUCUUAAGUCUGAUGUGAAAGCCCCCGGCUCAACCGGGGAGGGUCAUUGGAAACUGGGAGACUUGAGUGCAGAAGAGGAGAGUGGAAUUCCAUGUGUAGCGGUGAAAUGCGUAGAUAUAUGGAGGAACACCAGUGGCGAAGGCGGCUCUCUGGUCUGUAACUGACGCUGAGGCUCGAAAGCGUGGGGA